GAUGAACGCUGGCGGCAUGCCUAACACAUGCCAGUCGAACGAACGGAGGAAACGCCUUCUUGCCUGGUUGUAGCGGCGGGCGCGGGAGUAACACGUCUGUAACCUAGCUAGAAGGCGGGGAAAAAUUCCUGAAACCGGUGCUAAAUCCGGAUUAAAGUUGGAACCGCAAAGUGCAAAAGUUAAAGACGGCCUGGCUUUCGCUUAGAGCAGGAUCCGCACUGCAUUAGCUGGUUGGUAAGGUAACGGCUUACCAAGGCAACGAUCCCUAGCAGAUCUGAGAGGGUGACCAGCCACACUGGAACUGAGACACGGUCCAGACUCCUACGGGAGGCAACAGUAGGGAAUAUUGCGCAAUGGGCGCAAGCCUGAUGCAGCAACGCCGCGUGAAUGAAGAAGGUCUUCGGAUUGUAAAGCUCUGUUAGCGGGGAAGAAGGGAUUAAUAAGAAUAUCUGCACACAUUGACGUUACCCACAGAGAAAGCACCGGCUAACUCCGUG
rnacentral:rRNA from 1 species